UUGAACUUGAGUUUGUGGGGUUUUUGAACUUGAGUUUGUGUGUUUGUUGAACUUGAGUUUUUGGCAUCUUUGAACUUGAUUUUAUGGUGUUUUUGAAUUUGAGUUUUUGGCAUCUUUUAACUUGGGUUUAUGGUGUUUUUGAACUUGAGUUUGUCUGUUUGUUGAACUUGAGUUUUUGGCAUCUUUGAACUUGAUUUUAUGGUGUUUUUGAACCUGAUGUUGUGGCAUUUGUUAAACUUGAGAUUUGGGUGUUGGUUGAUCUUAAAAUUUUCACAUUUAUUGAACUUGAGUUUGUGGCAUGUUUGAACUUGUGUUUGUGGCGUGUUUGAACUUGAUUUUGUGGCGUGUUUGAACCUGAGUUUGUGCUGUUUUUUGAACUUGAGUUUCUAUCGUGUUUGAGCUUUAGUUUGUGGUGUUUUUGAACUUGAGUUUGUGUGUUUUUUUAACUUGAGUUUGUGGGGUGUUUGAACUUUAGUUUGUGUGUAAGUUGAACUUGGGUUUGUAGCGUGUUUGAAUUUGAGGUUGUUGCAAAUUUUUAAAAUUGAGAUUUGGGUGUUGGUUGAACUUAAAAUUUUCACAUUUAUUGAACUUGAGUUUGUGGUGUUCGUUGAACUUGAGUUUGUGUGUUUUUUGAACUUGAGUUUGUGUCGUGUUUCAACUUGAAUUUGUGGCGUGUUUGAACUUGAGUUUGUGGGGUUUUUGAACUUGAGUUUGUGUGUUUGUUGAACUUGAGUUUUUGGCAUCUUUGAACUUGAUUUUAUGGUGUUUUUGAAUUUGAGUUUUUGGCAUCUUUUAACUUGGGUUUAUGGUGUUUUUGAACUUGAGUUUGUCUGUUUGUUGAACUUGAGUUUUUGGCAUCUUUGAACUUGAUUUUAUGGUGUUUUUGAACCUGAUGUUGUGGCAUUUGUUAAACUUGAGAUUUGGGUGUUGGUUGAUCUUAAAAUUUUCACAUUUAUUGAACUUGAGUUUGUGGCAUGUUUGAACUUGUGUUUGUGGCGUGUUUGAACUUGAUUUUGUGGCGUGUUUGAACCUGAGUUUGUGCUGUUUUUUGAACUUGAGUUUCUAUCGUGUUUGAGCUUUAGUUUGUGGUGUUUUUGAACUUGAGUUUGUGUGUUUUUUGAACUUGAGUUUGUGGGGUGUUUGAACUUUAGUUUGUGUGUAAGUUGAACUUGGGUUUGUAGCGUGUUUGAAUUUGAGGUUGUAGCAAAUUUUUAAAAUUGAGAUUUGGGUGUUGGUUGAACUUAAAAUUUUCACAUUUAUUGAACUUGAGUUUGUGGUGUUCGUUGAACUUGAGUUUGUGUGUUUUUUGAACUUGAGUUUGUGUCGUGUUUCAACUUGAAUUUGUGGCGUGUUUGAACUUGAGUUUGUGUUUUUUUUAACUUGAGUUUGUGGCGUGUUUGAACUUAAGUUUGUUGCGUGUUUGAACAUGAGUUUGUGUUUUUUUGUGAACUGAAGGUAGUGGAAAUUUUUAAACUUUAGAAAUGGGUAUUUGUUGAACUUGAGUUUAUGGUGUUUUUUGAACUUGAGUUUGUGUCGUGUUUGAACUUGAGUUUGUGGUGUUUUUGAACUUGAGUUUGUGGUGUUUUUGAACUUGAGUUUGUGGUGGUUUUUGAACUUGAGGUUGUGUCGUGUUUGAACUUGAGUUUGUGGGGUUUUUGAACUUGAGUUUGUGUGUUUGUUGAACUUGAGUUUUUGACAUCUUUGAACUUGAUUUUAUGGUGUUUUUGAACUUGAGUUUUUGGCAUCUUUUAACUUGGGUUUAUGGUGUUUUUGAACUUGAGGUUGUGUGUUUGUUGAACUUGAGUUUUUUGCAUCUUUGAACUUGAUUUUAUGGUGUUUUUGAACUUGAGUUUUUGGCAUCUUUUAUGGUGUUUUUGAACUUGAGGUUGUGGCAUUUGUUAAACUUGAGAUUUGGGUGUUGGUUGAACUUAAAAUUUUCACAUUUAUUGAACUUGAGUUUGUGGUGUUCGUUGAACUUGAGUUUGUGUGUUUUUUGAACUUGAGUUUGUGUCGUGUUUCAACUUGAAUUUGUGGCGUGUUUGAACUUGAGUUUGAGUUUUUUUUAACUUGAGUUUGUUGCGUGUUUGAACAUGAGUUUGUGGUUUUUUGUGAACUGAAGGUAGUGGAAAUUUUUAAACUUUAGAAAUGGGUGUUUGUUGAACUUGAGUUUAUGGUGUUUUUUGAACUUGAGUUUGUGUCGUGUUUGAACUUGAGUUUGUGGUGUUUUUGAACUUGAGUUUGUGGGGUUUUUGAACUUGAGGUUGUGUGUUUGUUGAACUUGAGAUUUGGGUGUUGGUUGAACUUAAAAUUUUCACAUUUAUUGAACUUGAGUUUGUGGCAUGUUUGAACUUGAUUUUGUGGCGUGUUUGAACUUGAUUUUGUGGCGUGUUUGAACCUGAGUUUGUGCUGUUUUUUGAACUUGAGUUUCUAUCGUGUUUGAACUUUAGUUUGUGGUGUUUUUGAACUUGAGUUUGUGUGUUUUUUGAACUUGAGUUUGUGGGGUGUUUGAACUUUAGUUUGUGUGUAAGUUGAACUUGGGUUUGUAGCAUGUUUGAAUUUGAAGUUGUUGCAAUUUUUAAAAUUGAGAUUUGGGUGUUGGUUGAACUUAAAAUUUUCACAUUUAUUGAACUUGAGUUUGUGGUGUUCGUUUAACUUGAGUUUGUGUCGUGUUUGAACUUGAGUUUGUGUGUUUGUUGAACUUGAGUUUGAGUCGUGUUUGAACUUAAGUUUGUGGUGUUUUUGAACUUGACUUUGUGUGUUUUUUGAACUUGAGGUCGUGGUGUUUUUGAACUUGAGUUUGUGGGGUGUUUGAACUUGAGUUUGUGUCGUGUUUGAACUUGAGUUUGAGUAUUUGUUGAACUUGAGUUUGUGGCGUGUUUGAAUUUGAGGUUUUUGCAAUUCUUAAAAUUGAGAUUUGGGUGUCGGUAGAACUUGAAACUGUGACAUUUGUUGAGUUUCUGGUUUUUUUUAAGUUGAGGGUGUGGAAUUUGUUGAACUUGAUGUUGUGGGAAUUGUUAAACUUGAGUUUGUGUUUAAGUUGAACUUGAGUUUGUGUCGUGUUUGAACUUGAGUUUUUGUGUUUUUUGAACUUAAGUUUGUGUUGUUUUUGAACAUGGUUUUGUUUCAUGUUUGAACUUGACUUUGUGGCGUUUGUUGAACUUGAGUUUGUGUGGUUGUUUAACUUGAGGUUGUGGCAAUUGUUAAGCUUGAGAUUUGGUUGUUGGUUGAACUUUAGUUUGUGUCGUAUUUGAACUUGAUUUUUUGGUGUUUUUGAACUUGACUUUGUGUGUUUGUUGAACUUGAGUAUGUGGUUUUUUUUAACUUGAGUUUGUGUCGUGUUUGAACUUGAGUUGCUUGUAUGGUGAACUUGAGUUUGUGUUUUUUUUAAACUUGAGUUUCUGUUGUUCUUGAACUUGGGGUUGUGGAAAUUGUUAAACUUGAGAAUAAGAUGUUGGUUUAACUUGAGUUUGUGUGUUUGUUGAACUUGAGUUUGUGUUGUGUUUGAACUUGAGUUUUUGGUGUUUUUGAACUUGAGUUUGUUUUUUGUUAGAGUUUGAGUUUGUGUCGUUUGAACUUGAGGUUGUGGAAAUUGUUUAACUUGAGAAUUGGGUAUUGGUUGAACUUGAGUUUUUGGUGUUUUUGAACUUGAGUUUGUGAUGUUUUUGAACAUAAGGUUGUGGAGAUUUUUUAAAUUGAGAAUUGGGUAUUGGUUGAACUUGAGUUUUUGUUGUUUUUUCACUUGAGUUUGUGUCGUGUAUAAACUUUGGUUUUGGUGUGUUUUAGCUUGAGUUUGUGUGUUUGUUGAACUUGAGCAGGUGGCAAUUGUUAAACUUAAGAUUUGGGUGUUGGUUGAAUUUGAGUUUGUGUCAUUUCUGAACUUGUGUUCAUGAUGUUUGUUUAACUUUAUUUUGUGUGUUUUUUUAACUUGAGGUUUUGAAAAUUUUUAAACUUGAGAAUCAGGUGUUGGUUGAACUUGAGAUUGUGUCGUUUUUUUAACUGGAGUUUGUGUAGUUUUUGAACUUGAGUAUGUGGUGUUUUUGAACUUGAGGUUGUGGAAAUUGUUAAACUUGAGAAUCUGGUAUUGACUGAACUUGAGUCAUUGGUGUUUUUGAACUUGAGUUUGUGUCGUGUUUGAACUUGAGUUUGUGGUGUUUUUGACCUUGAAUUUGCGUGUUUGGUAAACUUGAGUUUCUGUGUUUAUUGAACUUGAGUUUCUGUUGUUUUUGAACUUGAAGUUGUGGAAAUUGUUAAACUUGAGAAUCAGGUGUUGGUUGAACUUGAAUUUGUGGUGUUUUUGAACUUGAGUUUGUGUCGUGUUUGCACUUGAGUUUGUGGUGUUUUUGAACUUGAUUUGCUGUGUUUGUUGAACCUGAGUUUUUGGUCUUUUUGAACUUGAGUUGGUGGUGAUUUUGAACUUGAGUUUGUGGUUUUUUUUGAAGUUGAGAGUGUGGAAUUUUUUGAACUUGAGGUUGUGGCAAUUGUUAAACUUGAGUUUGUGUUUUAGUUGAACCUGAGUUUGUUUCGUGUUUGAACUUGAGUUUGUGGUUUUUUUAAACAUGACUUUGUAGUAUUUUUGAAGUUGAGGGGAUAGAAUUUGUGAAACUUGAGGUUGUGGCAAUUGUUAAACUUGAGAUUUGGGUGUUGGUUAGACAUGAGUUUGUGUUGUUUUUGAACUUGAGUUUGUGGCGUUUCUGAACUUGAGUUGGUGGUGUUUUUGAACUUGAGUUCCAUGCUUGAACUUGAUUUUGUGGUUUUUGUUGAACUUGAGUUUGUGUCGUGUUUGAACUUCAGUUUGAGGUGUUUUUUAACUUGAGUUUGUGGUUUUCUUUAAGUUGAGGGUGUGGAAUUUGUUGAAUUUGAGGUUGUGGCAAUUGUUAAACUUGAGUUUGUGUUUUAGUUGAACUUGAGUUUGUGUCGUGUUUGAACUUGAGUUUUUGUGUUUGUUGAACUUAAGUUUGUGUUGUUUUGGAACAUGAGUUUGUUUCAUGUUUGAACUUGAGAUUGUGGCGUCUGUUGAACUUGAGUUUGUGUGUUUGUUGAACUUGAGGGUGUGGCAAUUGUUAAACUUUAGAUUUGGGUGUUGGUUGAACUUGAGUUUUUGUUGUUUUUGAACUGGAGUUUGUGGAUUUUUGAAGUUGAGGGUGUGGAAUUUGUUGAACUUGAGGUUGUGGCAAUUGUUAUACUUGAGUUUGUGUUUUAGUUGAACUUGAGUUUGUGUCAUGUUUGAACUUCAGUUUUUGUGUUUGUUGAACUUUAGUUUAUGUUGUGUUUGAACUUGAGUUUUUGUUGUAUUUGAAAUUGACUUUGUGUGUUUGUUGAACUUGAGUUUGUGUUGUGUCUGAACUUGGGUUAGUGGUGUUUUUGAACUUGAGUUUGUGUCGUGUUUGCACUUGAGUUUGUGGUGUUUUUGAACUUGAUUUGGUGUGUUUGUUGAACUUGAGUUUGUGGUCUUUUUGAACUUGAGUUGGUGGUGAUUUUGAACUUGAGUUUCGUGUUUGAACUUGAGUUUGUGGUUUUUGUUGAACUUGAGUUUGUGUCAUGUUUGAACUUGAGUUUGUGUCGUGUUUGCACUUGAGUUUGUGGUGUUUUUGAACUUGAUUUGCUGUGUUUGUUGAACCUGAGUUUUUGGUCUUUUUGAACCUGAGUUGGUGGUGAUUUUGAACUUGAGUUUGUGGUUUUUUUUGAAGUUGAGAGUGUGGAAUUUUUUGAACUUGAGGUUGUGGCAAUUGUUAAACUUGAGUUUGUGUUUUAGUUGAACCUGAGUUUGUUUCGUGUUUGAACUUGAGUUUGUGGUUUUUUUAAACAUGACUUUGUAGUAUUUUUGAAGUUGAGGGGAUAGAAUUUGUGAAACUUGAGGUUGUGGCAAUUGUUAAACUUGAGAUUUGGGUGUUGGUUAGACAUGAGUUUGUGUUGUUUUUGAACUUGAGUUUGUGGCGUUUCUGAAUUUGAGUUGGUGGUGUUUUUGAACUUGAGUUCCAUGCUUGAACUUGAUUUUGUGGUUUUUGUUGAACUUGAGUUUGUGUCGUGUUUGAACUUCAGUUUGAGGUGUUUUUUAACUUGAGUUUGUGGUUUUCUUUAAGUUGAGGGUGUGGAAUUUGUUGAAUUUGAGGUUGUGGCAAUUGUUAAACUUGAGUUUGUGUUUUAGUUGAACUUGAGUUUGUGUCGUGUUUGAACUUGAGUUUUUGUGUUUGUUGAACUUAAGUUUGUGUUGUUUUGGAACAUGAGUUUGUUUCAUGUUUGAACUUGAGAUUGUGGCGUUUGUUGAACUUGAGUUUGUGUGUUUGUUGAACUUGAGGGUGUGGCAAUUGUUAAAUUUUAGAUUUGGGGGUUGGUUGAACUUGAUUUUUUGUUGUUUUUGUACUGGAGUUUGUGGUUUUUUUGAAGUUGAGGGUGUGGAAUUUGUUGAAUUUAAGGUUGUGGCAAUUGUUAUACUUGAGUUUGUGUUUUAGUUGAACUUGAGUUUGUGUCAUGUUUGAACUUCAGUUUUUGUGUUUGUUGAACUUUAGUUUAUGUUGUGUUUGAACUUGAGUUUUUGUUGUAUUUGAAAUUGACUUUGUGUGUUUGUUGAACUUGAGUUUGUGUCAUGUUUGAACUUGAGUUUGUGGUGUUUUUGAACAUGAGUUUGUGUCGUGUUUGCACUUGAGUUUGUGGUGUUUUUGAACUUGAUUUGCUGUGUUUGUUGAACUUGAGUUUUUGGUCUUUUUGAACUUGAGUUGGUGGUGAUUUUGAACUUGAGUUUGUGGUAUUUUUGAAGUUGAGGGUGUGGAAUUUUUUUAAAUUGAGGUUGUGGAAAUUGUUAAACUUGAGUUUGUGUGUUAUUUGAACUCUAGUUUGUGCCGUGUUUGAACUUGAGUUUGUGGUGUUUGUUGAACUUGAGUUUGUGUUGUGAUUGCAAUUGAGUUUGUGGUGUUUUUGAACUUGAGAUUGUGUUGUGUUUGAACUUGAGUUUGUGGUGUUUGUUGAACUUGAGUUUGUGUCUUGUUUGUACUUGAGUUUGUGGUGUUUUUUAACUCUAUUUUGUGUGUUUGUUGAACUUGAGUUUCGUGUUUGAACUUGAGUUUUUGGUUUUUGUUGAACUUGAGUUUGUGUCGUGUUUGAACUUGAGUUUCUGUUUUUUUGAAGUUGAGGGUGUGGAAUUUGUUGAACUUGAUGUUGUGGGAAUUGUUAAACUUGAGUUUGUGUUUAAGUUGAACUUGAGUUUGUGUCGUGUUUGAACUUGAAUUUUCUUGUUUGUUGAACUUUAGUUUAUGUUGUGUUUGAACUUGAGUUUCUGGUUUUUUGAAGUUGAGGGUGUGGAAUUUGUUGAACUUGAUGUUGUGGGAAUUGUUAAACUUGAGUUUGUGUUUAAGUUGAACUUGAGUUUGUGUCGUGUUUGAACUUGAGUUUUUGUGUUUGUUGAACUUAAGUUUGUGUUGUUUUUGAACAUGAGUUUGUUUCAUGUUUGAACUUGACUUUGUGGCGUUUGUUGAACUUGAGUUUGUGUGGUUGUUUAACUUGAGGUUGUGGUAAUUGUUAAGCUUCAGAUUUGGUUGUUGGUUGAACUGUAAUUUGUGUUGUGUUUGAACUUGAGUUUGUGGUUUUUGUUGAACUUGAGUUUGUGUCAUGUUUGAACUUGAGUUUGUGGUGUUUUUGAACAUGAGUUUGUGUCGUGUUUGCACUUGAGUUUGUGGUGUUUUUGAACUUGAUUUGCUGUGUUUGUUGAACUUGAGUUUUUGGUCUUUUUGAACUUGAGUUGGUGGUGAUUUUGAACUUGAGUUUGUGGUAUUUUUGAAGUUGAGGGUGUGGAAUUUUUUUAAAUUGAGGUUGUGGAAAUUGUUAAACUUGAGUUUGUGUGUUAUUUGAACUCUAGUUUGUGCCGUGUUUGAACUUGAGUUUGUGGUGUUUGUUGAACUUGAGUUUGUGUUGUGAUUGCAAUUGAGUUUGUGGUGUUUUUGAACUUGAGAUUGUGUUGUGUUUGAACUUGAGUUUGUGGUGUUUGUUGAACUUGAGUUUGUGUCUUGUUUGUACUUGAGUUUGUGGUGUUUUUUAACUCUAUUUUGUGUGUUUGUUGAACUUGAGUUUCGUGUUUGAACUUGAGUUUUUGGUUUUUGUUGAACUUGAGUUUGUGUCGUGUUUGAACUUGAGUUUCUGUUUUUUUGAAGUUGAGGGUGUGGAAUUUGUUGAACUUGAUGUUGUGGGAAUUGUUAAACUUGAGUUUGUGUUUAAGUUGAACUUGAGUUUGUGUCGUGUUUGAACUUGAAUUUUCUUGUUUGUUGAACUUUAGUUUAUGUUGUGUUUGAACUUGAGUUUCUGGUUUUUUGAAGUUGAGGGUGUGGAAUUUGUUGAACUUGAUGUUGUGGGAAUUGUUAAACUUGAGUUUGUGUUUAAGUUGAACUUGAGUUUGUGUCGUGUUUGAACUUGAGUUUUUGUGUUUGUUGAACUUAAGUUUGUGUUGUUUUUGAACAUGAGUUUGUUUCAUGUUUGAACUUGACUUUGUGGCGUUUGUUGAACUUGAGUUUGUGUGGUUGUUUAACUUGAGGUUGUGGUAAUUGUUAAGCUUCAGAUUUGGUUGUUGGUUGAACUGUAAUUUGUGUUGUGUUUGAACUUGAGUUUGAUUCGUGUUUGAACUUGAGUUUGUGGUUUUUGUUGAACUUGAGUUUGUGUGUUUUUUGAACUUGAUUUUUUGGUGUUUUUGAACUUGACUUUGUGUGUUUGUUGAACUUCAGUAUGUGUUUUUUUUACUUGAGUUUGUGUCGUGUUUGAACUUGAGUUGCUUGUAUGGUGAACUUGAGUUUGUGUGUUUUUUAAACUUGAGUUUCUGUUGUUCUUGAACUUGGGGUUGUGGAAAUUGUUAAACUUGAGAAUAGGAUGUUGGUUUAACUUGAGUUUGUGUGUUUGUUGAACUUGAGUUUGUGUUGUGUUUGAACUUGAGUUUGUGGUGUUUUUGAACUUGAGUUUGUUUUUUGUUAGCGUUUGAGUUUGUGUCGUUUGAACUUGAGGUUGUGGAAAUUGUUUAACUUGAGAAUUGGGUAUUGGUUGAACUUGAGUUUUUGGUGUUUUUGAACUUGAGUUUGUGUCGUGUUUGAACUUGAGUUUGUGGUGUUUUUGAACUUGAGUUUGUUUUUUGUUAGCGUUUGAGUUUGUGUCGUUUGAACUUGAGGUUGUGGAAAUUGUUUAACUUGAGAAUUGGGUAUUGGUUGAACUUGAGUUUUUGGUGUUUUUGAACUUGAGUUUGUGUCGUGUUUGAACUUGAGUUUGUGGUGUUUGGUCAACUUGAGUUUGUGUCGUGUUUGAACUUAUGUUUGUGGUGUUUUUGAACUUGAGUUUGUGUCAUGUUUGAACUUAAGUUUGUGGUGUUUUUGAACUUGAGUUUGUGUCAUGUUUGAACUUGAGUUUGUGGUGUUUUUGAACUUGAGUUUGUGAUGUUUUUGAACAUAAGGUUGUGGAGAUUAUUUAAAUUGAGAAUUGGGUAUUGGUUGAACUUGAGUUUUUGUUGCUUUUUAACUUGAGUUUGUGUCGUGUAUAAACUUUGGUUUUGGAAUGUUUUAACUUGAGUUUGUUCGUUUUUUGAACUUGAGCAGGUGGCAAUUGUUAAACUUAAGAUUUGGGUGUUGGUUGAAUUUGAGUUUGUGUCAUGUCUGAACUUCUGUUCAUGAUGUUUGUUUAACUUUAUUUUGAGUGUUUUUUGAACUUGAGGUUUUGAAAAUUUUUAAACUUGAGAAUCAGGUGUUGGUUGAACUUGAGUUUGUGUCGUUUUUUUAACUGGAGUUUGUGUCGUGCUUGAACUUGAGUAUGUGGUGUUUUUGAACAUGAGGUUGUGGAAAUUGUUAAACUUGAGAAUCUGGUAUUGGUUGAACUUGAACUUGGUGUUUUUGAACUUGAGUUUGUGUCGUGUUUGAACUUUAGUUUGUGGUGUUUUUGACCUUGAAUUUGCGUGUUUGGUAAACUUGAGUUUGUGUGUUUAUUGAACUUGAGUUUCUGUUGUUUUUGAACUUGAAGUUGUGGAAAUUGUUAAACUUGAGAAUCAGGUGUUGGUUGAACUUGAGUUUGUGUCGUUUUUUUAACUGGAGUUUGUGUCGUGCUUGAACUUGAGUAUGUGGUGUUUUUGAACUUGAGGUUGUGGAAAUUGUUAAACUUGAGAAUCUGGUAUUGGUUGAACUUGAGUCAUUGGUGUUUUUGAACUUGAGUUUGUGUCGUGUUUGAACUUGAGUUUUUGGUGUUUUUGACCUUGAAUUUGCGUGUUUGGUAAACUUGAGUUUGUGUGUUUAUUGAACUUGAGUUUCUGUUGUUUUUGAACUUGAAGUUGUGGAAAUUGUUAAACUUGAGAAUCAGGUGUUGGUUGAACUUGAGUUUGUGAUUUUGUUGAACUUGAGUUUGUGUCGUGUUUGAACUUGAGUAUGUUGUGGUGUUUGAACUUAAGUUUUUGUGUUCGUUGAACAUGAGUUUGAGGUGUGUUUGAACUUGAGUUUGUGGUGUUUGUUGAACUUGAGUGUCAUGUUUGAACUUGAGUUUUUGGCGUGUUUGACCUUGAGUUUGUGGUGUGUUUGAACUUGAGUUUGUGUGUUUGUUGCACUUGAGGUUGUGGCAAUUUUUUAACUUGAGACUUGGGUGUUGGUUGAACUUGAGUUUGUGUCCUGUUUGAACUUGAGUUCGUUUUGUUUGUUGAACUUGAGUUUUUGAAAAUUUUUAAACUUGAGAAUCAGGUGUUGGUUGAACUUUAGUUUUUGGUGUUUUUUUUUUUAACUUGAGUAUGUGUCAUGUUUGAACUUGAGUUUGUGUGUUUUUUGAACUUGAGUUUCUGUUGUUUUUGAACUUAAGGUUGUGGAAAUUUUUAAACUUGAGAAUUGUGUAUUGUUUGAACUUUAGUUUGUGAGUUUGUUAAACUUGAGUUUGUGUCGUGUUUUAACUUGAGUUUGUGAUGUUUUUGAACUUGAGUUUGUGAUGUUUUUGAACUUGAGGUUGUGGAGAUUUUUUAACUUGAGAAUUGGGUGUUGGUUGGACUUGAGUUUGUGGGUUUUUUUUACUUGAGUUUGUGUCGUGUUUUAACUUGAGUUUGUGGUUUUUUUGAACUUGAGGUUGUGGAAAUUGUUAAACUUGAGAAUCUGGUAUUGGUUGAACUUGAGUCAUUGGUGUUUUUGAACUCUAGUUUGUGUCGUGUUUGAACUUGAGUUUGUGUGAUUGUUGAACUUGAGGUUGUGGCAAGUGUUUAACUUGAGAUUUGGGUGUUGGUUGAACUUGAGUUUGUGUUGUUUUUGAACUUGAGUUUGUGGCGUUUCUGAACUUGAGUUGGUGGUGUUUUUGAACUUGAGUUCCAUGUUUGAACUUGAUUUUGUGGUUUUUGUUGAACUUGAGUUUGUGUCGUGUUUGAACUUCAGUUUGUGGUGUUUUUUAACUUGAGUUUGUGUUUUUUUUUAAGUUGAGAGUGUGGAAUUUUUUGAACUUCAGGUUGUGGCAAUUGUUAAACUUGAGUUUGUGUUUUAGUUGAACUUGAGUUUGUGUCGUGUUUGAACUUGAGUUUGUGGUGUUUUUAAACAUGACUUUGUGGUAUUUUUGAAUUUGAGGGGGUAGAAUUUGUUGAACUUGAGGUUGUGGCAAUUGUUAAACUUGAGAUUUGGGUGUUGGUUGAACUUGAGUUUGUGUUGUUUUUGAACUUGAGUUUGUGGCGUUUCUGAAUUUGAGUUGGUGGUGUUUUUGAACUUGAGUUUCAUGUUUGAACUUGAUUUUGUGGUUUUUGUUGAACUUGAGUUUGUGUCGGUGUGAACUUUAGUUUGUGGUGUUUUUUAACUUGAGUUUGUGGUUUUUUUGAAGUUGAGAGUGUGGAAUUUUUUGAACUUGAGGUUGUGGCAAUUGUUAAACUUGAGUUUGUGUUUUAGUUGAACUUGAGUUUGUGUCGUGUUUGAACUUGAGUUUUUGUGUUUGUUGAACUUAAGUUUGUGUUGUUUUUGAACAUGAGUUUGUUUCAUGUUUGAACUUGAGAUUGUGGCGUUUGUUGAACUUGAGGGUGUGGCAAUUGUUAAAUUUUAGAUUUGGGGGUUGGUUGAACUUGAUUUUUUGUUGUUUUUGUACUGGAGUUUGUGGUUUUUUUGAAGUUAAGGGUGUGGAAUUUGUUGAAUUUGAGGUUGUGGCGAUUGUUUAACUUGAGUUUGUGUUUUAGUUGAACUUGAGUUUGUGUCAUGUUUGAACUUAAGUUUUUGUGUUUGUUGAACUUUAGUUUAUGUUAUGUUUGAACUUGAGUUUUUGUUGUAUUUGAAAUUGACUUUGUGUGUUUGCUGAACUUGAGUUUGUGUUGUGUCUGAACUUUAGUUAGUGGUGUUUUUGAACUUGAGUUUGUGUCGUGUUUGCACUUUAGUUUGUGGUGUUUUUGAACUUGAUUUGGUGUGUUUGUUGAACUUGAGUUUGUGGUCUUUUUGAACUUGAGUUGGUGGUGAUUUUGAACUUGAGUUUCGUGUUUGAACUUGAGUUUGUGGUUUUUGUUUAACUUGAGUUUGUGUCGUGUUUGAACUUGAGUUUGUGGUGUUUUUGAACUUGAGUUUGUGUCGUGUUUGCACUUGAGUUUGUGGUGUUUUUGAACUUGAUUUGCUGUGUUUGUUGAACUUGUGUUUUUGGUCUUUUUGAACUUGAGUUGGUGGUGAUUUUGAACUUGAGUUUGUGGUAUUUCUGAAGUUGAGGGUGUGGAAUUUUUUAAACUUGAGGUUGUGAAAAUUGUGAAACUUGAGUUUGUGUGUUAUUUGAACUCUAGUUUGUGCCGUGUUCGAACUUGAGUUUGUGGUGUUUGUUGAACUCUAUUUUUUGAGUUUGUUGAACUUGAGUUUCGUGUUCGAACUUGAGUUUGUGGUGUUUGUUGAACUCUAUUUUUUGAGUUUGUUGAACUUGAGUUUCGUGUUUGAACUUGAGUUUUUGGUUUUUGUUGAACUUGAGUUUGUGUCGUGUUUGAACUUGAGUUUCUGGUUUUUUGAAGUUGAGGGUGUGGAAUUUGUUGAACUUGAUGUUGUGGGAUUUGUUUAACUUGAGUUUUUGUUUAAGUUGAACUUGAGUUUGUGUCGUGUUUGAACUUGAGUUUUUGUGUUUGUUGAACUUAAGUUUGUGUUGUUUUUGAACAUGAGUUUGUUUCAUGUUUGAACUUGACUUUGUGGCGUUUGUUUAACUUGAGUUUGUGUGGUUUUUUAACUUGAGGUUGUGGCAGUUGUUAAGCUUGAGAUUUGGUUGUUGGUUGAACUCUAGUUUGUGUCGUGUUUGAACUUGAGUUUGUGGUUUUUGUUGAACUUGAGUUUGUGGUUUUUGUUGAACUUAAGUUUGUGUGUUUUUUGAACUUGAGUUUCUGUUGUUUUUGAACUUAAGGUUGUGGAAAUCUUUAAACUUGAGAAUUGUGUAUUGUUUGAUCUUUAGUUUGUGUGUUUGUUAAACUUGAGUUUGUGUCGUGUUUGAACUUGAGUUUGUGAUGUUUUUGAACUUGAGGUUGUGGAAAUUUUUAAACUUGAGAAUUGUGUAUUGGUUGAACUUGAGUCAUUGGUGUUUUUGAACUUGAGUUUGUGUCGUGUUUGAACUUGAGUUUGUGGUGUUUUUGACCUUGAAUUUGCGUGUUUGGUAAACUUGAGUUUGUGUGUUUAUUGAACUUGAGUUUCUGUUGUUUUUGAACUUGAAGUUGUGGAAAUUGUUAAACUUGAGAAUCAGGUAUUGGUUGAACUUGAGUUUGUGAUUUUGUUGAACUUGAGUUUGUGUCGUGUUUGAACUUGAGUAUGUUGUGGUGUUUGAACUUAAGUUUUUGUGUUCGUUGAACAUGAGUUUGAGGUGUGUUUGAACUUGAGUUUGUGGUGUUUGUUGAACUUGAGUGUCAUGUUUGAACUUGAGUUUUUGGCGUGUUUGACCUUGAGUUUGUGGUGUGUUUGAACUUGAGUUUGUGUGUUUGUUGCACUUGAGGUUGUGGCAAUUUUUUAACUUGAGACUUGGGUGUUGGUUGAACUUGAGUUUGUGUCCUGUUUGAACUUGAGUUCGUUUUGUUUGUUGAACUUGAGUUUUUGAAAAUUUUUAAACUUGAGAAUCAGGUGUUGGUUGAACUUGAGUUUUUGGUGUUUUUUUUUAACUUGAGUAUGUGUCAUGUUUGAACUUGAGUUUGUGUGUUUUUUGAACUUGAGUUUCUGUUGUUUUUGAACUUAAGGUUGUGGAAAUUUUUAAACUUGAGAAUUGUGUAUUGUUUGAACUUUAGUUUGUGAGUUUGUUAAACUUGAGUUUGUGUCGUGUUUUAACUUGAGUUUGUGAUGUUUUUGAACUUGAGUUUGUGAUGUUUUUGAACUUGAGGUUGUGGAGAUUUUUUAACUUGAGAAUUGGGUGUUGGUUGGACUUGAGUUUGUGGGUUUUUUUUACUUGAGUUUGUGUCGUGUUUUAACUUGAGUUUGUGGUUUUUUUGAACUUGAGGUUGUGGAAAUUGUUAAACUUGAGAAUCUGGUAUUGGUUGAACUUGAGUCAUUGGUGUUUUUGAACUCUAGUUUGUGUCGUGUUUGAACUUGAGUUUGUGUGAUUGUUGAACUUGAGGUUGUGGCAAUUGUUUAACUUGAGAUUUGGGUGUUGGUUGAACUUGAGUUUGUGUUGUUUUUGAACUUGAGUUUGUGGCGUUUCUGAACUUGAGUUGGUGGUGUUUUUGAACUUGAGUUUCAUGUUUGAACUUGAUUUUGUGGUUUUUGUUGAACUUGAGUUUGUGUCGUGUUUGAACUUCAGUUUGUGGUGUUUUUUAACUUGAGUUUGUGUUUUUUUUUAAGUUGAGAGUGUGGAAUUUUUUGAACUUCAGGUUGUGGCAAUUGUUAAACUUGAGUUUGUGUUUUAGUUGAACUUGAGUUUGUGUCGUGUUUGAACUUGAGUUUGUGGUGUUUUUAAACAUGACUUUGUGGUAUUUUUGAAUUUGAGGGGGUAGAAUUUGUUGAACUUGAGGUUGUGGCAAUUGUUAAACUUGAGAUUUGGGUGUUGGUUGAACUUGAGUUUGUGUUGUUUUUGAACUUGAGUUUGUGGCGUUUCUGAAUUUGAGUUGGUGGUGUUUUUGAACUUGAGUUUCAUGUUUGAACUUGAUUUUGUGGUUUUUGUUGAACUUGAGUUUGUGUCGGUGUGAACUUUAGUUUGUGGUGUUUUUUAACUUGAGUUUGUGGUUUUUUUGAAGUUGAGAGUGUGGAAUUUUUUGAACUUGAGGUUGUGGCAAUUGUUAAACUUGAGUUUGUGUUUUAGUUGAACUUGAGUUUAUGUCGUGUUUGAACUUGAGUUUUUGUGUUUGUUGAACUUGAGUUUAUGUCGUGUUUGAACUUGAGUUUGUGUUGUUUUUGAACAUGAGUUUGUUUCAUGUUUGAACUUGAGAUUGUGGCGUUUGUUGAACUUGAGGGUGUGGCAAUUGUUAAAUUUUAGAUUUGGGGGUUGGUUGAACUUGAUUUUUUGUUGUUUUUGUACUGGAGUUUGUGGUUUUUUUGAAGUUAAGGGUGUGGAAUUUGUUGAAUUUGAGGUUGUGGCGAUUGUUUAACUUGAGUUUGUGUUUUAGUUGAACUUGAGUUUGUGUCAUGUUUGAACUUAAGUUUUUGUGUUUGUUGAACUUUAGUUUAUGUUAUGUUUGAACUUGAGUUUUUGUUGUAUUUGAAAUUGACUUUGUGUGUUUGCUGAACUUGAGUUUGUGUUGUGUCUGAACUUUAGUUAGUGGUGUUUUUGAACUUGAGUUUGUGUCGUGUUUGCACUUUAGUUUGUGGUGUUUUUGAACUUGAUUUGGUGUGUUUGUUGAACUUGAGUUUGUGGUCUUUUUGAACUUGAGUUGGUGGUGAUUUUGAACUUGAGUUUCGUGUUUGAACUUGAGUUUGUGGUUUUUGUUUAACUUGAGUUUGUGUCGUGUUUGAACUUGAGUUUGUGGUGUUUUUGAACUUGAGUUUGUGUCGUGUUUGCACUUGAGUUUGUGGUGUUUUUGAACUUGAUUUGCUGUGUUUGUUGAACUUGUGUUUUUGGUCUUUUUGAACUUGAGUUGGUGGUGAUUUUGAACUUGAGUUUGUGGUAUUUCUGAAGUUGAGGGUGUGGAAUUUUUUAAACUUGAGGUUGUGAAAAUUGUGAAACUUGAGUUUGUGUGUUAUUUGAACUCUAGUUUGUGCCGUGUUCGAACUUGAGUUUGUGGUGUUUGUUGAACUCUAUUUUUUGAGUUUGUUGAACUUGAGUUUCGUGUUCGAACUUGAGUUUGUGGUGUUUGUUGAACUCUAUUUUUUGAGUUUGUUGAACUUGAGUUUCGUGUUUGAACUUGAGUUUUUGGUUUUUGUUGAACUUGAGUUUGUGUCGUGUUUGAACUUGAGUUUCUGGUUUUUUGAAGUUCAGGGUGUGGAAUUUGUUGAACUUGAUGUUGUGGGAUUUGUUUAACUUGAGUUUUUGUUUAAGUUGAACUUGAGUUUGUGUCGUGUUUGAACUUGAGUUUUUGUGUUUGUUGAACUUAAGUUUGUGUUGUUUUUGAACAUGAGUUUGUUUCAUGUUUGAACUUGACUUUGUGGCGUUUGUUUAACUUGAGUUUGUGUGGUUUUUUAACUUGAGGUUGUGGCAGUUGUUAAGCUUGAGAUUUGGUUGUUGGUUGAACUCUAGUUUGUGUCGUGUUUGAACUUGAGUUUGUGGUUUUUGUUGAACUUGAGUUUGUGGUUUUUGUUGAACUUGAGUUUGUGUGUUUUUUGAACUUGAGUUUCUGUUGUUUUUGAACUUAAGGUUGUGGAAAUCUUUAAACUUGAGAAUUGUGUAUUGUUUGAUCUUUAGUUUGUGUGUUUGUUAAACUUGAGUUUGUGUCGUGUUUGAACUUGAGAUUGUGAUGUUUUUGAACUUGAGGUUGUGGAAAUUUUUAAACUUGAGAAUUGUGUAUUGUUUGAACUUUAGUUUGUGAGUUUGUUAAACUUGAGUUUGUGUCGUGUUUUAACUUGAGUUUUUGAUGUUUUUGAACUUGAGGUUGUGGAGAUUUUUUAACUUGAGAAUUGGGUGUUGGUUGAACUUGAGUUUGUGUUUUUUUUUUACUUGAGUUUGUGUCGUGUUUUAACUUGAGUUUGUGGUUUUUUUGAACUUGAGGUUGUGGAAAUUGUUAAACUUGAGAAUCUGGUAUUGGUUGAACUUGAGUCAUUGGUGUUUUUGAACUCUAGUUUGUGUCGUGUUUGAACUUGAGUUUGUGUGAUUGUUGAACUUGAGGUUGUGGCAAUUGUUUAACUUGAGAUUUGGGUGUUGGUUGAACUUGAGUUUGUGUUGUUUUUGAACUUGAGUUUGUGGCGUUUCUGAACUUGAGUUGGUGGUGUUUUUGAACUUGAGUUUCAUGUUUGAACUUGAUUUUGUGGUUUUUGUUGAACUUGAGUUCGUGUCGUGUUUGAACUUCAGUUUGUGGUGUUUUUUAACUUGAGUUUGUGUUUUUUUUUAAGUUGAGAGUGUGGAAUUUUUUGAACUUCAGGUUGUGGCAAUUGUUAAACUUGAGAAUCUGGUAUUGGUUGAACUUGAGUCAUUGGUGUUUUUGAACUUGAGUUUGUGUCGUGUUUGAACUUGAGUUUGUGGUGUUUUUGACCUUGAAUUUGCAUGUUUGGUAAACUUGAGUUUGUGUGUUUAUUGAACUUGAGUUUCUGUUGUUUUUGAACUUGAAGUUGUGGAAAUUGUUAAACUUGAGAAUCAGGUGUUGGUUGAACUUGAGUUUGUGAUUUUGUUGAACUUGAGUUUGUGUCGUGUUUGAACUUGAGUAUGUUGUGGUGUUUGAACUUAAGUUUUUGUGUUCGUUGAACAUGAGUUUGAGGUGUGUUUGAACUUGAGUUUGUGGUGUUUGUUGAACUUGAGUGUCAUGUUUGAACUUGAGUUUUUGGCGUGUUUGACCUUGAGUUUGUGGUAUGUUUGAACUUGAGUUUGUGUGUUUGUUGCACUUGAGGUUGUGGCAAUUUUUUAACUUGAGACUUGGGUGUUGGUUGAACUUGAGUUUGUGUCCUGUUUGAACUUGAGUUCGUUUUGUUUGUUGAACUUGAGUUUUUGAAAAUUUUUAAACUUGAGAAUCUGGUAUUGGUUGAACUUGAGUCAUUGGUGUUUUUGAACUUGAGAGUCAUGUUUGAACUUGAGUUUUUGGCGUGUUUGACCUUGAGUUUGUGGUAUGUUUGAACUUGAGUUUGUGUGUUUGUUGCACUUGAGGUUGUGGCAAUUUUUUAACUUGAGACUUGGGUGUUGGUUGAACUUGAGUUUGUGUCCUGUUUGAACAUUAGUUCGUUUUGUUUGUUGAACUUGAGUUUUUGAAAAUUUUUAAACUUGAGAAUCAGGUGUUGGUUGAACUUGAGUUUUUGGUGUUUUUUUUAACUUGAGUAUGUGUCAUGUUUGAAC